CAGUUCCUGGCCCUUGCGCGCUGCUUCGAUGAAGCUUCGCACCUCUAUCAAAACGGGCAACCGCACCGCUUGGCAAGGCCUUGCUGUCAGAUCAAGUCCGUACUUCUGUCCAUCACACCGGCGGCGGCCUCGUUUGAGUCAAUGUUUCCGCUACGUGCCACAGCCGAAUGGAAUCCGCGCGCUUGGCGGAGUGAGGUUGUUC
rnacentral:sRNA from 1 species